UACGUAGGGUGCAAGCGUUGUCCGGAAUUAUUGGGCGUAAAGAGCUCGUAGGCGGUUUGUCGCGUCUGCUGUGAAAAUCCAGGGCUUAACCCUGGACCUGCAGUGGGUACGGGCAGACUAGAGUGCGGUAGGGGAGAUCGGAAUUCCUGGUGUAGCGGUGAAAUGCGCAGAUAUCAGGAGGAACACCAGUGGCGAAGGCGGAUCUCUGGGCCGUAACUGACGCUGAGGAGCGAAAGCAUGGGGAGCGAACAGG
rnacentral:rRNA from 1 species